UACGGGGGGGGCAAGCGUUGUUCGGAAUUACUGGGCGUAAAGGGCUCGUAGGUGGCCAACUAAGUCAGACGUGAAAUCCCUCGGCUUAACCGGGGAACUGCGUCUGAUACUGGAUGGCUUGAGUUUGGGAGAGGGACGCGGAAUUCCAGGUGUAGCGGUGAAAUGCGUAGAUAUCUGGAGGAACACCGGUGGCGAAGGCGGCGUUCUGGACUGCAACUGACACUGAGGAACGAAAGCCAGGGGAGCAAACGGG
rnacentral:rRNA from 1 species